GGAAAUCCGGGGCCGGAGGGGGGGGGAGAGCGGGGGGGGCAAGGCUUGGUCGGGAUGACUGGGCGGAAAGGGCGCGUAGGCGUGCGGCUAAGGCGGGCGUGAAAUCCCGCGGCUCAACCGAGGAACGGCGUCCGAUACUGGUGGGCUUGAAUCCGGGAGAGGGAGGUGGAAUUCCAGGUGUAGCGGUGAAAUGCGUAGAUAUCUGGAGGAACACCGGUGGCGAAGGCGGCAUCCUGGACCGGUAUUGACGCUGAGGCGCGAAAGCUAGGGGAGCAAACGGGAUUAGAUACCCUGGUAGUC
rnacentral:rRNA from 1 species